GGGCACAUAGCGUAGGGGUUAUCGCGUUCGCUUUGCAUCUUGGGAGAUAAUGAUUGUACUGCGAAAGGUCCCCGGUUCAAUUCCGGGUGUGUCCA